UCAAUGUUACAACUUUAAUGAUUCCACAUUUUCAUCUUUCUUCAAUAUGAAUUGAAACGGCAACAUGUUUUAAAAAAACAACCAAUGAGCCAUUUAAUACAUAAUUGAAACGACAUCAGGUUUUAAUGGAUAUUUGCAGUAUUAUCCAAUAAUUCGUGUAUACUCAAGAUGGUUAAGAAUUACUCUGUAACUUUUUUCGGUUCUUGAACUCAUUAUAACCAAGGGUAAUAAGUUCAGCUUUAACAGAGUAAUCAUUUUUUUCCCAUUCAAGGAUGGCAUAUAUUUUUACUAUUUUCCUUGAUUAUGUUAUACUUUUUAUUGUUUUAUGUUUUUACCAAGUUAUAAAUUUCUUAUGAGCAAAUUUUUGUGUAAAUUUAUGG